AUGCCAUCAGCACAAGUCUAUGGAAAACUUUGCAAAGCAACUCUAGCAAAAAUAAUACUGUUUAACCGACGACGUGGAGGAAUGGUUGCAAAGAUGCAACUAAAAGGUUUUCUAGAGAGGGACACAGCUGCCCUACAUAAAGAUGUUGCUGUUGGGCUAACAAAGUUUGAACAAAAACUUUGUGCACAUUUCAGUUGGGUGGAAAUUAGGGGUAAAAGGGGACGAAAAGUUGCAGUCUUGUUAUCGCCAGACAUGAGUGAUGCCUUGACACACCUCAUAAGCAGAAGACCAGAGUGUGGAGUCCCAGAAGAAAACACAUUCCUGUUUGCAAGACCCAACUAUUUAACUCCAUAUCGAGGACAAGACUGUCUGAGAAUUUAUGCAAAUGAGUGUGGUGCGCAAAACCCUGAACUCCUCUGGUCGACACAGUUAUGCAAACAUGUUACAACUUUGUCACAGGUCCUAAACCUCAAAAACCAUGAGUUGGACCAAGUUGCUGACUUUUUGGGCCACAAUAUUCGUGUCCACAGAGAGUAUUACAGGCUUCCGGAGGCUACAACCCAGCUUGCCAAAAUAUCUAAACUACUACUUGCCAUGGAGAAAGGUUCACUUACAAAUCUUCAGGGCAAAACACUAAAAGAGAUUGAAAUUGAAGAGGGAGAUCUGGCCAUAAUGGAGUUCACCCCAGAGUUCAGGAACCUGUUUUCCUCUUUUGUAGUGACUCGGGAAAAUUCUCCUGUAAGGGGUGUUGCAAGAAGGAAACAAAAACAAAUAUGGUCUCCAACAGAAAUCGCUCCAGUAAUGAGACAUUUCCAGAACCAAAUCGCAAGGUGUAAACUCGCCACUAAAAUUGAAUGUCAACAUUGCAAGAAUGCUUAGCAUCCAGUCACAAGAUAUAAAACCCCAACAAAAAAAACAAAAAAAGGUUUUUUUUUUUUUUUUUUUUGCUUAUAUGCAAGAGAAACGUUCUUCUGCUGUUGAACAUCUGUUAAAGGAUUUAAUGUGCUUUCAUAAUACCGAAAAAUGUUCGGUAUUAACUUUUAUGUUUAUGAACAGUUAUAAUAUUAAAGUUCUCCUCCUCCACACAUUUGAGAGGGUUUAUUUUCUUUACACACAGGACAUUUCUUUAUUCACAAAAUGGUAGUGUAUCUUAUGAUGUAAUAUUAUAAGGGCAACUACUGUAAUGCUGUAAACAAGAACUAAUUAAACUUUGCUCAUUGUUCACAGACUGUGCAUACUGUUAUGUGUCCUCAUGUCUAGUUUGAAUGUCGUGUCUUUGCUUAAAGACGAUCACCCAGUCUGGGUUUAUUUUGCAUUAACCGGCUAGAUGUACAUAAUCCUUUACAUCUCAUAAAUAGUAGGUCCUUGAAUGCACACUAUAAAAGGUAAGGUUGCAUAUUUACAUUACUAUACAAAAAUAUUAUACAUGCACAUUGCUGUUGUACUGUGUGCUGAGUCUGAUCAUUUGUCUUCAUAUAUCAGGUAUGUCCCUUUAAUACAACAUCUUCACUACUGUGUUUGUUAAAUCAUUUGUCCUCUUAUAUCAGGUAUGUCCCUUUAAUACACAAUAUCUUUACUAUUGUGUUUAAAUCAUUUGUCCUCUUAUAUCAGGUAACCAUUUUUUCCCAUCGUUAAACUAGCAAAAGUGGAUUUGAACACCCCCUGAGUGCACUGUGCGCUUUAGACCUUACACUUAGAUCGUUAAAAUAGGGCCCAAUAACUUUGCACCAGUCUUCUGCUGUCCAAUCCUUGUAUUUCCUGCAGAAUUUCAGUCUGUCCUUCAUGUUUUUCUUGAAGAAAAGUGACUUCUUUGCUGCCCUUCUUGACACCAGGCCGUUGUCCAAAAGUCUUGGCCUCACUGUGCAUGCAGAUGCACUCACACCAACUGCUGCAGUUCCUGAGCAAGCUCUACACUGCUGGAGACACGAUUACAGCUGACUCCUCAGGAGUUGAUGGUCCUGGCGCUUGCUGCACACACUGGGACGUUCUGAAGACUUCUUCACUGCAGUCGAGCCUCUCGAGCUCCUUGAAGUUCUUGAUGAUCUGGUAAAUGGUUAUUUCAGGUGCAAUAUUAUUUGCAGCAAUUUCCUUGCAUGUGAGGCCAUUUUGAUGCAAAGUGAUGAUGGCUGCACAUGUUUCUUUGGAAGUAACCAUUGUUAACAAGAACACCACCUUUCAUAGCAAUCAGUCUGCUCUUACGGUCUAAUUAGUAUGAUAGUGAUUUCACCUGACUAGACUAGGAUGACCUGAGGGUGAGUAAUGUAUGGGCUAAUUUUAAUUUUUGGGUGAACUAACCUUUUAACUAAAACAACUCUCUGUCUUUUAUUCACUCUAAGAGAAAUCGAAGCCGCCACUUGUCAGAUGUCAGUUUCGGGAAACAUCACCGUCACAGUUCUCCUCUGGCCAGACAAAACCAGCUGUUCAGUUCCAGGCUGCAACAAAGUCAGAUUGUGCAGAGGACUAUGGUUCCUGUGGUCUUGUCCCAGUGGUCGUCUGAGACAAGGGUAUCUGCGGCUCAUCUAGUUGUCCUGGUCUCAGCUGUCUUUCAGGAAUGUAGAGGUCCUUUCUAGAUGCUGAUCCACCAUCUGGUCUGGAUCCGGGUGACUGCAGUGACCCUCUGACUUGGAUACAGACUGGAUCUGGUGGCUACAGUGACCUCGGAAUAAGAGAGAAACAGACUAAUAUUAGCGUAGAUGCCAUUCUUCUAAUGAUGUAGCAAGUACAUCAGGUGUUAUGGGAAGUGUUCCCGGUUCCGGUUUACCUAAUUAAUGCAACCUAAAAAUCCUUUAACGGAUUUGGAUAUUAGAAGCGUAUUAGUGUGCUAUGUGUAGUGUGCUAUGUGCCAGGUUAAAGAGAUGGGUCCUUAAUCUAGAUUUAAACUGCAAGAGUGUGUCUGCCUCCCGAACAAUGUUAGGUAGGUUAUUCCAGAGUUUGGGCUCUAAAUAGGAAAAGGAUCUGCCGACCACAGUUGAUUUUGAUAUUCUAGAUAUUAUCAAACUGCCAGAGUUUUGAGAACACAGCGGACGUGGAGAACUAUAAUGUAACAAGAGCUUGUUCAAAUACUGAGGUGCUAAACCAUUCAGGGCUUUAUAAGUAAUAAGCAAGAUUUUAAAAUCUAUACAAUGUUUAAUAGGAAGCCAGUGCUGUGUUGACAGAACCGGGCUAAUAUGAUCAUACUUCCUGGUUCUAGUAAGAACUCUAGCUGCUGCAUUUUGGACUAAUUGUAGUUUGUUUAUUAAGUGUACAGAACAACCACCCAAUAAAGCAUUACAAAAAUCUAACCUUGAGGUCA
ensembl:lncRNA